UGUGUAUUUUAUUUUCCUUGUGUUCUGCCGUCCCUUUCAUCUCCUCCCUCUUGUGUUUAUUUGAGAGAGUUUUUAUUUAUGAAUCAGUCACCUCCUUUUUAAUCACCUCCCCUCUGUAUCACGCGAACCUGCUUCUAGCCACAUAAGCUCCUGACAGACUGAUCCCUGCUGUUUGCACCCGCGAAAGACCCAGGCACAGGGGAGGUGGGGCGGGGGGAGAGGUUAAAAGCAGCAGCGCGUAGAGCCAUUGCUGCGCGGAGCGCGCCGCCGGGGCAGCAGCCAGGCGGAUGAAUGGGACGGGGCUGGCCACAGCAAGGCGCUGCUGCCCCCUUUCCCUGGGAGGAGCGUCAAGCCGCGGGCGUGGAGAGCGCAGAAUGGGGGAGGGCAGGAUUUGAACGAAGGGCGGUGACACCGCACAAAAGAUUUCUAUAGGCUUAAGUGAGGUUACAGCAAAGGCAACGGGGACGGGGGGAGGAGUGGGCGAAGCAGCCUCCCUUAGAGCCAUGCAGCGUCUGGCUGGCAGAUCCGCAGCAGCCGCCUCUUCCCAGUAGUUUGUUGUAGGGCCCGGGCAGAGGAAUCGGAGGAGAGAAGGCGGCCGAAGGGCUGUUCCCCCCUCCCUGGAAGUUGGUGAUUCAGCCAGAAAAAUGGCAGGAGGAGAGCGAGGCCGAGCGGGUCGCAGCAUCUGCCGCGGCUGCAGCCCGGAGCCACCACCCUUGUUGGCGGGGAGAGUCUAAGUUCGUGCCGCGGCAGCAAGAGGCCACUGAGGAGCCGGGCGAAGUCGGAUCGGAUGCGCCCACGUCCGGAGGGCCCGCAGCGAGGAGGGGAUGGAGCCAGGCGGCCGGGAGCGAGCUCGGGGCGGCUGGAUGCAUGAGCAAGGAAGGAAGGCGUGAGGCAGCCACAGAGGGAAGGGGAGAGGAUCCCUCCCUCCCCGCCAGCUGCCGGAUCCGGUGGCGCUUUUGCUCCCCCCCUCCCACCCGUUGCACCGAGCUGGGGUGUGUGCAAACAGUUCGCGAUCCCAGCAGCGCAAACACUAAGUCUGUGCCCAGCUUCUCCAGGGCUUGUGCAGCGCGACCGGGCCACACCCUCGGCUGUGCUUCCUGAUACCAGGAGAUGCGGGUCUGCCGCCGCCUGCGACUGACUUCUCGGGGACAUGUAAAGGGAGAGCACAUGGUUCGCAGUCGCCUCCUUUCGGACCAGUGGGAUUUUUUUUUUGAAGGAGUUAAACGGUAAUAAGUUGGAUGUUUCUUUUUUAAUUCAUGUCAACUGGUUUGCAUCCGUAAUUUAUUCCCCUUGAAGAGGGAACUUUGCAAAAUCCAGCUGCCGGAAAGCAAACCAACCACCACGGCACAGAUCACCGUGCAAAAUAAAUAAAAAGCAUAGAUCA
rnacentral:lncRNA from 1 species